CUGAGUCUGCUAAGAAAGCUCCUUGGUCCGUAGCACCUGAGCCCACGGUCACAGCACCUCCUGCCUCUCCCUCAAGCUGCAGCAUCUGGCUCCCGCAGCCUCAGCUUCCCCUCUACCAGGGCCCUGCUGCUACUGCUGCUAAGGUUGUGCGGGGAGGAUUAGGUGUCUCAGCCAGCAAACACCUGCUGCCCCUUAUCUUAAAUGCCUCUCUGAGAAGCCUGAAUAAAGCCUGAAACCCUAUCUUCAGCUGAGACUAAUAAUAAAACCAAGGAGCCACUGUGCAGGCUGGCCUUCCUCCCCUGAGAUUUUUGGAGGGAGCGGAGGAGCAAAAGCAGCCUUUCCUAGCCAAGCCUCGUCUCUGCGGGUGGAUCUGGAUUCCCUUGGUGAUGGAACCCGCCACCAGCCCCUGAGUGACUUGGAAGGAACGAGCCUGGGCUGUGUGACAGGGCUGGAUGUUAUGUCACUCUCUCACUCGGAACCUGCGUCUCAUCUGAAAAAUGGACUCUGGUCUUUAGGGCCUAUAAUAAUAAGUCAAACUAUUUGCAGCUGGCUGAAGAUAGGAGCCAUCUCACCAAGUGGGCUUUGCCAGUCCCUGAAGGGGCUUGAGGGGAUGGAUUUCAUCCCCGGAAGGUUGGCAAGUAGCUGAGGCCUCAAAUUCCUGGCUUCCUAUGCUAGACAUGGACUUUCCUUAACCACAGGCCCACACAGGGAUGCAGCAAGAAGACCCAGGUCACACCAUGACUAAGUUCUGUCUACUAAGAGGAACAUCUUCAGAGAACCCAGCCUCCAACCCCAGCCCCAGGAGGCACAGACCAAAACUUGGCAUUAAGAAGAAGGGAAGUGGCUUUGGGGGCUCCGAGCUGCACUGGAGCUCGCUGGCUGGCUCUUGAAAGGUGGAGCUCUGCAGAGGAGCAGGGUUCCUGCCCCAAGGAGCAGGCUCCAGACAGACCAUGCCUGCCACCAUUUUGAGCUCCUUGGUCAGAGAAG